rnacentral:rRNA from 1 species
UACGAAGGGGGCUAGCGUUGCUCGGAAUCACUGGGCGUAAAGCGCACGUAGGCGGGUCGUUAAGUCAGGGGUGAAAUCCUGGAGCUCAACUCCAGAACUGCCCUUGAUACUGAAGAUCUUGAGUUCGGGAGAGGUGAGUGGAACUGCGAGUGUAGAGGUGAAAUUCGUAGAUAUUCGCAAGAACACCAGUGGCGAAGGCGGCUCACUGGCCCGAUACUGACGCUGAUGCACGAAAGCGUGGGGAGCAAACAGG